rnacentral:rRNA from 1 species
GCUACUUUAGAUAAUACCUAGAGAUAGUGGACGUUACUCGCAGAAUAAGCACCGGCUAACUCUGUGCCAGCAGCCGCGGUAAUACAGAGGGUGCAAGCGUUAAUCGGAUUUACUGGGCGUAAAGCGCGCGUAGGCGGCUAAUUAAGUCAAAUGUGAAAUCCCCGAGCUUAACUUGGGAAUUGCAUUCGAUACUGGUUAGCUAGAGUGUGGGAGAGGAUGGUAGAAUUCCAGGUGUAGCGGUGAAAUGCGUAGAGAUCUGGAGGAAUACCGAUGGCGAAGGCACCCAUCUGGCCUAACACUGACGCUGAGG